rnacentral:rRNA from 1 species
GACGGGUGAGUAACGCGUGGGUAACCUGCCUUAUACAGGGGGAUAACAGUCAGAAAUGGCUGCUAAUACCGCAUAAGCGCACAGAGCUGCAUGGCUCGGUGUGAAAAGACUCCGGUGGUAUAAGAUGGACCCGCGUUGGAUUAGCUUGUUGGUGGGGUAACGGCCCACCAAGGCGACGAUCCAUAGCCGGCCUGAGAGGGUGAACGGCCACAUUGGGACUGAGACACGGCCCAGACUCCUACGGGAGGCAGCAUG